ACCCUCCAGUGUCCUUCGUUUUACGAGUUUUCCAAUGAAAAUCCCCUCGUCCCGCCGUCCAGAAGGUCGUUAAAUUUACGACCGUCCCUUUCUCCCACAACCCCCCUUCGUCCGUCCGCCCUCCCGGACAUUUGAUGUUACCC
ensembl:ncRNA T09A5.17 ncRNA